CCUACGGGAGGCAGCAGUGAGGAAUAUUGGUCAAUGGACGAGAGUCUGAACCAGCCAAGUAGCGUGAAGGAUGACUGCCCUAUGGGUGGUAAACUUCUUUUAUAAAGGAAUAAAACGAGGCACGUGUGCCUUUUUGCAUGUACUUUAUGAAUAAGGAUCGGCUAACUCCGGGCCAGCAGCCGCGGUUAUACGGAGGGUCCGAGCGUUAUCCGGAUUUAUUGGGUUUAAAGGGAGCGUAGAUGGGUUGUUAAGUCAGUUGUGAAAGUUUGCGGCUCAACCGUAAAAUUGCAAUUGAUACUGGCAGUCUUGAGUACAGUUGAGGUAGGCGGAAUUCGUGGUGUAGCGGUGAAAUGCUUAGAUAUCACGAAGAACCCCGAUUGCGAAGGCAGCUUACUAAACUGUGACUGACAUUGAUGCUCGAAAGUGUGGGUAUCAAACAGGAUUAGAUACCCCUGUAGUC
rnacentral:rRNA from 1 species